CUUUCGUCUCCGUCGUCGGACUGUAAGCUCCUCCAGGACAGCUGUUGUCUGUUUUGUUCACGGCUACAGACCACACCCCUCAGGCAUGUCUGGCGCACAGCAGAUACUUAGAAAAUACUUGUAGAACAAAUGAAGAAGUUUUCUCCUUGUAAAUUUCUUUUUUUAUAUAUAAUUAUCAUGCACCAUUUUAAUAGUUAAAACAUUUGGGUAAAUGUACCAUGAGAUAUUUUUUCUCACCAAUCAACUCUUUUCAGUGACUGAUUAACCCAACAGGGGUUGUCUCCUUGAACUUGAACAGAAUUAAACCCAUGAAUCUCCUAACUUGACGUUACCGCCCCUCAAGUUGAUCUGCAGCAUCCGGUCUACCAGCCAGCCUGAUAGCCAAAGCCGCUUAGCUGAUUUUUUUCAGCUGGUGGUGACUUCCUUCCAGCACUAGCCACAAAUAUUCUCUUCGCUCUGUAACCUAUAUUGACCUGCGUCCUUGUCCUUUCCUCACCACUUGUCCAUGACCAGGGGCCAGUUAGAGUGUUUCAAAGGGAAAUCGGAGGAGUGGGGUUAAUCCUGAGGAUCUGCCUUGGGGUUGUUUUGAGGAUCAAGUGCAUCGUGCCCACCGGAAAAUGUUUCCAACAAAGGACAGUUCAUUAUGCCAGCUCCGCUGCGGAACAAGCUCUCCAGCUGCGCCCCCUUCAUUUGGAAAGUUUGGGAGAGCCCCUCGUUCAGGCGGAAUUUGCCAGGGCUGUCCUUGUUUUCCACAGUCACCACUCUCUCGGCUCUGAAAAGAGAUGUCUGCUUGCCCGUGUUGUGAGAUCGCCUGCACAGAGGCACCCUCGACCCGUCACGUGCACACAGUAGGCACUCCUCGGGGAACGGAAGAACUGGAAGAUCACAGGCCGUGCGGCCACGGAAAGAACACCUGUGGUCUGGUCUGGGAGCCACGGCAAAGUUAGCACAUUCAGAUGAAGUCCAGUACUGAGUAGAAAUCAGCCAUCCCAGAGGGUAGAUUUCCAUGACCACCUCAAGCACACAUUUCUGCAACCCCAAGUAUCGUUGUCCUUCACUGUUGCUGCUUCGUAAGACUCACCAAUCACAGCGCCAAAUGCAAUUAAGACUUGAGGCAUCUCCCACUUUCCAUUUUAGUCAGAGAUAUUAAUGCCAAGCAACUUCUUGAAAAGUCAGAGUUUCCAGAACUCUGUGCCCAAAUUUCAGACCAAGAGCUGGGAACUGAUGGAAACCCCAUGUAAACCUAACCCCACACAACCUACUCAGGUUUCCUAACAUUUAACCCAAGUGAUCUCAUUUGGAUGGAAAGAAAAUUUUAUGUAUUGCAGAAUUGAAUGAAGUCCUAAAUGGAUUAAAGGAGAAUCUGUUCUAUUUGCCAUUUAGUCUGGGCCGGGAGAGGCCUCCUUGCCCUCCAAGGAUGCAUCUCAGGAAGAGAAAGUGGAUUGUGAGGCGAUGUUCUGAGAGUUCUGCCCACAGCCAGGCGGCAGGGGAGGACCUGGGGGCACAGAGGCCAUUCCACUUAGAAACGUCCCACUGCAGGUGCCGAUUAAAUCCCUGUGCUGAGAGGCAGUCAGGCAUGGAAGACGUCGUGAGUGUGCUGUCAUGGUUCUUCUCUUCUAUGUGUUUUAACUGUUAUUAUUUGCCCCUGUGUCCCGAGGCCGUGCGUUGGGACUGGGUGAGAGUUCGUGAGUCAGCCCUGGAGUUCUGCGUUGGGGGCCCAACGGCUCCGCGCAUGAUGUCACUGCGGCCGUUUCCCGUCCAUCCACAGGGCUGCUUUGAUGUUCUCUGCAGAGCUGAGGGAGGCUUCUUUCCCUUUACACCCACCCCCCCCCCCCCCCCGCCUUGAAGAUACACAGGGCCCUUCCCCAGAGUUUGCCCUCCUCUGAUACAACAAUAAGC
ensembl:lncRNA